rnacentral:rRNA from 1 species
AUUUUGUACAACGGGGGAAACCCUGAUCCAGCCACCCCGCGUGUAUGAUGAAGGCCUUCGGGUUGUAAAGUACUUUUGGCAGAGAAGAAAAGGUAUCUCCUAACACGAGAUAAUGCUGAAGGUAUCUGCAGAAUAAGCACCGGCUAACUACGGACCAGCAGCCGCGGUAAUACGUAGGGUGCAAGCGAUAAUCGGAAUUACUGGGGGUAAAGGGUGUGUAGGCGGUUCGGAAAGAAAGAUGUGGAAUCCCAGGGCUCAACCUUGGAACUGCAUUUUUAACUGCCGAGCUAGAGUAUGUCAGAGGGGGGUAGAAUUCCACGUGUAGCAGUGAAAUGCGUAGAUAUGUGGAGGAAUACCGAUGGCGAAGGCAGCCCCCUGGGAUAAUACUGACGCUCAGACACGAAAGCGUGGGGAGCAAACAGG